rnacentral:rRNA from 1 species
UGCGGGGGGGGCAAGCGUUGUUCGGAAUUACUGGGCGUAAAGGGCUCGUAGGUGGCCAACUAAGUCAGACGUGAAAUCCCUCGGCUUAACCGGGGAACUGCGUCUGAUACUGGAUGGCUAGAGUUUGGGAGAGGGAGGCGGAAUUCCAGGUGUAGCGGUGAAAUGCGUAGAUAUCAGGAGGAACACCGGUGGCGAAGGCGGGUCUCUGGGCAGUAACUGACGCUGAGGAGCGAAAGCGUGGGGAGCGAACAGG